AAUUAUUGUUUUUAUUAAAUAUAUUUAAAAAGUGAAAAUUAUAAUCUACUUGAAAACUAAUUGUUUGUACUUUUUGAAUAACGGUUUCUCCAAUAAUUAAUAUUUUUUUUCUCGAAUUAAGAAGAUCUAAAGAAAAGUAAGCACUUAUGUAGAAAAAUAAGUUUUUGAUAGUUCUUUAGGGGCGAAAAACCUUCAAUUCUUACAAUAUCUAGAUUUCCCAUGAAAAGCAUUGAGUGCUUAAAAAUGAAUUAAUUGGCGUUUAGGUCGAUUAAUAAGAAUAUUUUUUUUUAUUUUUAUAUUUUGGUUAAUACUAAUAAUCUAAAUUACUAAAAAUUAUUUAUUUUAAAUUUCUCUUUUAGUGGAUAGUUUAAUUAUUUUAAAAUUAUGAGAAAAUUAGUAAAAAUAUUAAAAAAAGUAUAGGAACUCGGCCAAUACAAACUUCGACUGUUUAUCAAAAACAUAGCCUUAAGAUUAAGUAUUUAAGGUGUAACCUGCCCAGUGAUUUUUUAAAUGGCCGCGGUACUUUGACCGUGCUAAGGUAGCAUAAUCACUUGACUUUUAAAUGGAGUCUGGAAUGAAUGGGGUGACGGGGUUCAGCUGUCUUUACUUUUUUAUUUUUAAUUUACUAAAUAGGUGAAAAGGCCUAUAAAUGAAAAAAGACGAGAAGACCCUUAGAGUUUCUAAAAAAUUUUGUUGGGGCGACAUAGGAAUAUAGAUCUUCCUAAAAUUUAUAAGACGGUUUUCAUGAAUAGAUAAACUACCUGAGGGAUAACAGCAUAAUCUAUUUUUGGUUUGUGACCUCGAUGUUGGACUAGGAAUUUUUUAGGCAAGCCGCCUAGAAAAAAGAUUCUGUUCGAAUUUCAUCUCCUACAUGAUCUGAGUUCAGACCGGCGUAAGCCAGGUCAGUUUCUAUCUUUUUUGAAAAAUUUUUAGUACGAAAGGACCAAAAUUUUUUUAG
rnacentral:rRNA from 1 species